AAACUAUCUCAUAUUAUUUUAAAGUUACCAACUGUAUUGGAGAGAAGCACACCAACGUUCGCCAGAAUUCAAGGAUCCAGUGCUGGACCCUUGAAUUAUAGAUAGUUGAAUCCUUGGAGAUAGACACAUGUUGAACUUCAAGCACUGAGAAGAGGCGAAAUUCUGUCUUUAGGAUAUUGCGAAUACGCAAGCCUCUAUCUUCAAUAAAAGUCAAUAUUCUGCACUUAAUUUAUAUUUGCACAUUUAUACAGAUUUCGUACUUUUGCUACUAUUUAUAUUUUAAGAGUUGUGCAAUAAUAUAGUGAUCCUAUAGUAUAAAACAUUUACUGAUUAUUUUCUAACACAGUGUUCACGGCCCCACUUAAUAUUUCCCCUUUCACUAACAAUGAUCAUAUAAAACAAGCAACCCCGAGCUUAAAUCUCUGGCCUUUCUCUAUUGUUGAGAUGGGAGGUUGUUUGUUGCCCUUGUCUGUACAAAAUCCCUGCCAUUUGAUAUAAAUAUAUAUUACAAGCGAUAUUGAGAAAGUGGUUUUUUUUUUAUACAAGUGAUUAUUAGUUUUUUGACACAUUAAGAUUCGAAUAUGAAACUACUGAUCCGUAAAAAAAUACACUUUUUUAUUGGAUUAGAACCCGUUGGCAUCUUGCAAUUUAAUUAGUUGAGUUUCACAUAUCAAAGUUUAUUUCUAAUCACAAAAUAUUUUCAGCAUGCUAAUGUAAUGGUUUCAAGGUUUUGGUAAACUGGGACCACACUUUUUUGAACUUUGUAUUUGGGCUGCAAAAAAGUCCCCCCAAGAAUACUCCUUUUUGUUAGACAACUGAGAGAUUGAGCCCAAAUAGAAACUUAUAGCAUAUGGUAUGUUGUAAUUGGACAAAACAUGUUACUCAUUGUGUCACGUGACAAGUUAAUCUCUAUUGAAGUAGUAAACUAGUAGUGCAUGCGUUAGAGGUAUUGUAAGAUCAUAUUAAAUAUUUCCAAGAUAGAUAAUUAUGCAGGAAAUCAUUGUCCUAAUUACCCCAUCAAAUCCGAAUUUUCAUUAUCACAUUAAAUCUUAAGUCUUCUAGCACGUGCAUCACGGAUGCCAAUUAGGGGUGGACAUGAGUUGAAUUGAGUCGGUUUUGGUCCCAAUUCAUAUAUAGCGGUUUAUGAUUUAUUGGACUCAAAAUCCGCUUAUUAUUAAGCCAACCCAACCCUUUUAUGAUCGAGUUAACUCAAAAUUAAGUUAUUUUUAAAUUUUGGUUCCAACUCAUGCAUAGCGGUUUAUGAUUUCUUGGACCUAAUACUAGCUUAUUAUCAGACCAAUUCAACCCAACCCAACCAUCUAAUGAUUGAGUUGAUCCAAAAUUGUUCCCACGCCUAAUGCCAAUUGGCUUUUUAUUUAUUGAGAAAUUAUAUUUUCAUAAAUUGUUUUAUUUCUUAACAUUUUGAUUAAUUAAUGGUAUUAUUGAGAUUAUAUAUAGAUGACAUAAUAUCCUUCAACUAGUUAUCAAAUCAAUUCACCCAUAGUUUUUUGGAAUAAAAUGCACUUUUAACCGGAUGAAAUAUGCAUGGUAUAUGUACAAUGUAAAAAGAAAAGGCAAUAAUUUCAUCAACAAAAAAAGAAGAAGAAAAGGCAAUAAACUGAAAUACAUCCUCGAACUCUCCAAGCAACUUCCAUGUAAAAGGAAGAAGAAAAAAUUACAUAGAAUCUCCAUAUCGUUACAAUUAAUGGUGUUAAUAAUACUUCUUGCGACCUAAAUCUAAAUGGCAUACUCGUUCGAUAUUUACAGCAACAUUUUUUUAAAAACUUUGGGUAAGAUGAUGCACUGAUUUCAUAUACCCGUCAACGUUUUGGUCAUGUAAAAGUUGAUGAUGAAAUUGGAUGCACUGAUUUCUGUUGUGCCUCAGCCUCAAAUUUAAACAAGCAUUCUUUUCUUCUAAUUCUUUGAUCCUUUUUAAAUUGCAAGCCAUGCUCUUACCAAGAGAAGCAAGACGACAAUGCAGCCGGUCUAUCACAAAGGCAAGCAAUAGAGACAACACAAUGAGAGUGGUUUCAGGACUCAAAUGGCCCAUCAUCCCACGCUUCUGAAUCAUCACGAGAAAGAUGAUAUUCCCCACGAGUUUCAGCAUAGCGGUCCCCUAGCAGCUGCGGUUGAUCUCAUCGAGGCUCGACAUCUUCGUCUUUUUUAAAGGCGCUUCGAGCAAAACUAAGAGUAUGAGAACCAUAUCAAUUAAAAUCGUGAGUAGUACUACCGGAACCAUAAUGGAAGUUGGAAGGUUUAGAGUGUAUGUGUUUAGGUAUAUUUAUAUGUUGAAGUUACGUACAUAUUUUUAUACAUAGGUUGUAUUUAUAGAAGAAACUCUAUCCUAGAGUUAUUAGGAGACCUAUUUUGGUAAGGAAUUCAAAUGGGCCGGGUCAAUACUAUCAAAAACUUAUGGUGGUUUGUGAAUUGGAUCAACCAACAGGCCGAAGCCCACUCUCUCACUUUUUAUCUCUGUCUUUCCCUCUCUCAACGUUGUUUGGCAGAUCGAUGGGAAUCUCUUCGGAGAUUUUGUCCCCCAAAAACAAAAAAAAGAAGAGAGAUCCCAUUGCCUCAUUGGAGAUCUUUGGAGGUUUCAGAAAAGAUUUAAAUAUGUUUUUCCUACUUGAGGGAAGUACAUGAAGGCCUACCGCAAACCUGUCUCUUGGUUUUCCACUCCACAUGUGUCCAUAAACACACAUGGUGCAAUUUGAUGUACCUUUGUUGUUUCUCAUGUGCAGCUUUUAUGCAAAAUAAUAUUUUUAUCAAAGAUAACGGUUGCAUAAGUUAG
rnacentral:lncRNA from 1 species